rnacentral:rRNA from 1 species
UACGUAGGGGGCUAGCGUUGUCCGGAAUCAUUGGGCGUAAAGAGCGUGUAGGCGGCCAGGUAGGUCUGGUGUGAAAACUCGAGGCUUAACCUCGAGAUGUCAUCGGAAACCAUCUGGCUAGAGUCCGGAAGAGGAGAGUGGAAUUCCUGGUGUAGCGGUGAAAUGCGCAGAUAUCAGGAAGAACACCAAUGGCGAAAGCAGCUCUCUGGGACGGUACUGACGCUGAGACGCGAAAGCGUGGGGAGCAAACAGG